CCUUUUCUCUCAAUUCUCUCUAAAAGCUUCUCAAAUCCUAGCCGUCUCCUUCCAUUUCCACCUUAAACCAUCAGAAUCCAUGACUUCCAAGGCCAUUGAAGUCCAGAUCUACCUCAUAUAACUCCUACACGCCCGAUUACUAUGGUUUCAAGGCUUGACCAUGAGAAAGCUUGGCCCAUACUUUGUUUGAUUCGAGUUCUAUGGACGUCUUCGACCUUCCUCCGGCUAGCCAUGGUUAUUCGAGCCUGAUCUCCACUUCUCCAGCUUAGAUCAAUGACAUUCCAAGCCUUUUUCAUCACAUGGGUUUUUCUGAAACUCUAACCCUUUGAGGUUUUUCCGAUUCUUUUAGAUCCGUUGUAUAUAUGUGUUUUAUCGAAGCUUUUAAACAUUUUCUCAAGGUUCUUUCAAAACUAUACCUUCAAAGCCUUCAUCUUUUUCCGAUUUGGGUUUCGUUAAGUUAUCUUUUAAAGUUUCUCUGAUCUUUAGCAUGUUCUACUGUGUUUCUCAUGUGUUUCUUUUACUGUGAUUCUUAUAAGUUCCUUCUACUAUAUUUCGUAUGUGUUUCGUCUACUGUAUUUCUUAUGUUGUAUCUUCUACUGUCUUUCUUAUGGGUUUCUUCUACUACGUUUCUUUACAAGUUUCUUGUUCUAUGUUUCUUUAUGAGUUUCUUCUAUUAUGUUUCUUUAUGUAUUCUUCUACUGUGUUUCUUAUGAUUGUUCUUCUAUUGGAAAAUGCAUGUUAAAAGUCUCAGUUUCUUUCUAAGAUUUCUAAUCACAUUUCGUUAGUAUUUUUUGCCUUGAUUACUUGUCCUUUCAUCUCUACACAUGGUUGACGGCAAAACCCUAAAAUUUUGGGAUUUCAUUCAAGUAUUGAGACUAUUCGCUAUGUGAUUUGCUUGUUCUUCAUCCUUGAACUUGUUUGAUUCCAAAACCCUAACUUCUUUGGACCUAUUCGAGUUUCUAAACUUUGUUUCAUCUACCGCUCGAUGGAGUUUCAAAAUCUUUGUUUCAACCUUUGUUUCUUUAUGAGAUUCUGAUUUUCUGCCAAACUCUUCUAAGGUCUUUCUACUAGACCCUCUGCAUGCUAUUUUAUACUCUCACUCUUCUUUGUCACUAAGAUGACUACCAUGUUCCUAUAGUUCACUACUUACUGGUUUUUGUGAUUGCAUGACGCUUUUUCUUUGUCCUAAAUUCAGCUUCUCAUGCCUAAUACUUGUGUUUCUUUAUAUAUGCUAAGCUAUCCCUCUAAAAUGACUUUCAAUUCUUGACUGAUUUCAUACCUCCUUUGUGUAAAUCUAAUUGAUUCUUUCCUUGUUUGCUAAUUUCCCUAUUACUUGGUUUGAUUCGAAAAUUUUCCUUAGCCUUUCUGACUUUGUUCACCCAUGAACCAAUAAUUUCGAAUCCCUGAUUCCUUGAUUUACUAUGUAUUAAUUAAUUUUACCGUGUUACUUUUUGUUUUACCGUGUAUUUCAAACAUUCUUCCCUUAAUUAAACUCCUAUGUAUUUACCCCUAAUUGUCUAUUUUGCAAAAGAUGCUUACUCAAUCUGUUUCCUUAAAUGAUUUCAUUUCAUUACCGUUUAAGUUUGAACUCCUUAAUUAAAUAAUGUUCUUCUACUGAUUUUAAUUGGCACAUAGUUAUUUUCUUGCCUUAUUUUCAGCCCAUUUUCACACUAUAAAUAUCUGCUCCUUCAUUGACACAAAGACACGAACACUCUUAGUUUUCUGAACACACACCCACAUUCAAAAAGCAUUCUCUCGUUACUUAUGUUGUGGCCUAUUUUUUUCAAGUACUGCUACUGCUUUAUUUUGAUUCUUCAAAACUGGUAUGUCCUGAUUAAGGUAUUCAGCAAUCACAACAAUGUAUUUAUUUACUACCUUUAGUUGAAUGUCUGCCUGCUUCUUAUUGUACAGUUAUAUGCUUACUUUAAAAUGCUGUAUUUUCCUUCUGCCUAUUUUACAUCUAUUAUGAAUUCGAAAACCCCAACCCCUAUGUGUUUAUGCUAUGGUUUGAGGCAUGACAGUACUAAAAAUUGUUGUCCAUAACUUAAACUUGAUCCCCUAGGAUCCUAGCCUCUAAUAUUGUGUGUCCUGGAAAACCUAUAGACAUGCCAGCAUCCUCCAUUGCCGGGCAUGCCUAAAGAUUGACCUGGCCUAAGGAAUAAGCUCUUUGCAAUUACCCUAUUCCCCGAACCCCUUUUGUGUACCCAUUUGUAGAUGUUUCCCUCUCCUUUAUUCCAUAGAAUUCUGUUCUUCACUUGCACUAUCUCUUAGACUUUAAGUUCUGCCCCCUCUUGUGAGCCUUGCCUUGGGACCCUUUGAUCUCCCUCUGAACUUGGACACCUGAGAGCUGGCUCUUACACACUGCACUUGUCCCUAUUCUAGGAUGAAAUUUGGGUGUGAGUACUUCCCGGAGUCCCAUUGAGGCUCUUAGGGGACUUUGACACACUCAGAUUGGAGAAAGAUUUUGGAUCGGUGAUCUUUGAGUUGGUCUAUCUCAUACUUCAAAUAGGAAGUAUGAAUCAGACUCUCCUUUGGUUGUAUUUUUUUUAUAUACCUUUUUUGAUAUACUUUUAUCCAUUCUAGUUGUACUAAGUUGUAAUAAACGCUUGGGGAUGGCUAGUGAAAAGAGGAUGGGAAACUAAGCAAAGGGUAAAAAUCAUGCCUAUAGGUUUAUUAUAAUUUUGCAUAUUCAAACACAUGUAAAAAUUAUGUCUAUAGGUAUAUUACAAUUUUGCAUAUUUAGAUAUUUAAAUUAUGUCUAUAGGUCUAUUACAAUUUUGCAUAUUCAGAUACAUAUAGAGACCAUAUCUAUAGGUCUAUUGUAAUUUCAAUUUCAAAUACAUAUAGAAAUCAUGACUACAGGACUAGCAUAUCCCAACUUCAUAUAGAAACCAUGUCUAUAGGUGUUUUGAAUUCUAUAUAUUCAAAUAGAAAUCAUGCAUAUAAGUCUAUUCUAAAUUCUGCAUAUCCAACUUCGUAUAGAAAUUAUGCCUAUAGGAUUGUUCAAUUCUGCAUAUUCAAUUACAUGUAGCUAUUAUGUUCAUAGGUCGUAAACAAAUUCUGCAUCUAGAUACCAUGUUUAUAGGUUUAAAACAAGCCUUGUGCAUUUAGAUACUAUAUCUAUAAGGCUUCUGCAUUUUUACACUAUGUCUAUAAAGUCUAAAAUCAGCAACACUAGAAAUCAUGCCUAUAGGAAUUUCUAAUUGAAUCUGAUUUGCCUCACUCAGUGUUAGAUAUAAAACUAGUAAUAAUAGAUACUGUCAGUUGCAGAAUUUAUAAUCAAUUCAUUAAAUCCUGCCUCUCUUUUAAUAAUCUGAUUCCCUCACUUAGCGAGUUUAACAAGUAUGCACUCAAAGAAUUCAUUUCAAGCCUUGUUGUUUUAUGAAUUCAAUAGAUACCAUGCCUAUAGGACCCCGUCUUAAUUCUGCAUUUUUACACUAUGUCUACAAAGUCUAAAAUCAGCAACACAUAGAAAGCAUGCCUAUAGGAAUAUCUAAUUGAAUCUGAUUCGCUUCAGUCAGUGUUAGAUAUAAAACCUGUAACAAUGGAUAUUUUCAGUUGCAGAGCUUAUAAUCAAUUCGUUAAAUCCCGCAUCUCUUUUAAUAAUAUAAUUCCCUCACUUAGCGAGUUUAACAAGUAUGCAUUCAAACAAUUCAUUUCCAGCCUUACUAUUUUCUGAAUUCAGUAUAUAUCAUGCGUAUAGGACCCCGUCCUAACACUUAAGGCAAGCCAUAUGGUAAUAACUAAAUUGAAUCUAUUCUAUUAACUACAACCAGCAGGCAUGCCUGAUUUGGGCUUCUUACCUGAAUUAUGUAAUAAAUCACUGUGCCUCAACCAUUAAACUCUCUCAUGUUUGGUAUUUACGACCUUAACCAGUAUAUGAUGUCAUGCUAAUUAUGUACUUUUCGUUUUGUUCAAGGAGGUGUAAUUGAGCCUCUGUUUGUUCAUAUGCUUCAUCCUAAAUGUGCAAUAUGUGUCUUUGUAUCUCGCCUUAGAUUAUUACCUUAAGAAACCUCAAAUAAGCCCAAUAUCCCUCCCUUUUAGGAUUAGUAGUCCUAAGUGCCUUCUGGAUUGAUAGGAUUUGGACAGGUAAUAACAUGCAAUAAAUCGAGACCAUUUCGCACUUUAAUAACUUAACAGGGUGGGAAGGGUAGAUAUGGAUAUGAUGACCACGCGAUAAUGUCACGUGUAUCCCCUCAUUGAUGAGUGAUUACCGUGAAUUGUGUGGGGUGAUCCAUAUUUUUAAUAAACCUAGGACCCCAUCCCUUUAUUUCUUUACUUCUUUUAGCAAUUUCAUUUAUUUUGUUAAAGGUUGGCUUUUCUAAUUGCUCUUUCCGACUUUGUUUAUUUGUAAAUCAUUAUGUGAAAGAAUCCCUCUUAUUUGAAGCUUUAUUGUCCAUAUGUUAUUACACCUAAAUUCACAAUAAUAGUCUGGCCGGGAACCACACUAGUAGAUUCUGAGGGGUGCCUAACGCCUUCCUCUUAGAAUAAUUUCAAGCCUUACCCUAUCUCUGGUUUCUUAAAGAAAAUCCUUUUACUGUCCUAAUGCACCCUAAUCAUUCGGUGGCGACUCUUCAAAUGUAAACCCAAUUCCCAAAAGGAAUGAGUUGUCCUCCCAAAUGUCAUAAACCCAAUUUUCGCGGAGGAACGGGCGCGACAAUAACUGCUAACUAAAAAUUUGUCACAUAAUAUGUAGGAGUUUAAUUUUUUUUAUAUAUGAGAUUCCAACAUAAUAUGCUGGAAUUUUAACAUAAUAUGCUAGAAUUUUAUAUGCAGGAGCUCCAAAAUCUAGCAUAUUAUGCUGAAAUUUGUGAUGACCCAAAAGGCCAUCACUUGUUUAAGAAUAAAUUCUGCGUUCCGAUGCCUUUAAAACCUCUUUCUGUCACCUUGAUUUGUGUGCGCAGUCCGGGCGCGUAGCUGAAAAGCCAAUAUGUGAAAAUCUGUGAAAAAUUAUGAAUUUUGACUUUAAAAUAAAUUAAGUUGACUUUGGUCAAUAUUUUUGGGUAAAUGGACCCAAACCCGUGAUUUAGCGGUCUCGGAGGGUCCGUAAGAAAAUAUUGGACAUGGGCGUAUGCCCAGAAUCAAAUUCCAAGGUCGCAAGCUCGAGACAUGAAUUUUUAAAGAAAAUUAUUUUCUAGAAUAUUUAUGAGCUUUUGAAAGUGAAAUGUGUUUAAAGUUUGACGGUAUUGGGCCCGUACUUUGGUUCCGAAGCCCGUUACAAGUCUUAUAUAUUAUUUGAUUCGAACCUAUAAAAUUUGGUAAGAAACGGACUUGAAAUGACAUGACUGGGACCGUAUUCGAGAAAAUUAGAAAUUUUGAAGUUCUUAAAAAAUUUCAUAAUUUUGAUGCUAAAUUCAUAGUUGUUGAUGUUAUUUUGGUGAUUUGAAUGCACAAACGAGUUGGUAUGAUGUUUUUAGGUUGGUGUGUGUGUUUGGUUUGAAGCCCCAAGGGCUCGAAUGAGUUUUGGAUAGGCCCUAAAAUAGAAUUGGACUGGGAAAAAUUGUAGGUUUUAGUUGUUCUAUUGCAGGCCUGCAUGCUUCACAUUUGCGAAGCCCGACUCGCAAAUCUGAAGACUAUGUCGCAAAUGGGAAUAUAGCCCAAGCCAGCGUACCUCGCAAAUGCGAUCCUCCAGUUGAAGCCCAGUCGUUGCAAAUGCGACUAUUUUAUCACAAAAGCGACCUCACAAAUGCGAGGGUCACUUGGCAAAUGCGAUGUUAGCAGAGUCUGGGUUUGCAAUUGCGAACCCUAGUUGCAAUUGUGAUACCUGCAACCUAUAAAUUCAUAACGCAGAGACAUUUCAACCAUUUUCACUCUCUUUCAAAACCAAAACACCCUAGAGCGAUUUUUUAAAGGCAAAUUCUUCUCCAAAUCGAUUGUAAGUGAUUUCUAACUAGUUUUCUUCAAUUCAUAACAUCUGUUCACAUGAUUUCAACUCAAAAUCAAUAGUUUUUAUGGGGGAAAUUGGAUGUUUCGUGUAGAACCUAGGUUUUCCAAAUUUUGGGGAUUUGGACCUCGAUUUGAUGUCCGAUUUUUAAACAAAUUAUAUAUUUUAGUUUGUGAGGGAAUAGGUAAUCGGGUUUUGGUUUGAACCUCGGGUUUUGACCAUGUGGACCCAACGCGAUUUUUGAAUUUUUGGGCAAACUUUGGAAAACUUAUUUUCAUGCAUUAAAAUUGAUUCAUUUAGCAUUUAUUUAUGUAAUUAAGUAACUUGCGGCUAAAUACGAGUGAAUUGGUGGUGGAAUCAAGAAGUAAACCGAUAGUCGAGACUUGAAUUGUGUUUUUGACAUCGAGGUAAGUGUUUGAUCUAACCUUAGCUUGAGGUAUUAAGAGUCGAGUCCUAUUUCCUAUGUGGUAUUUGUUGAGGACGACGUAUAUGCAUGGUGACGAGUAUUUAUACGUUGGUGUCAAGCAUGUCCGUGAGUAUUAUGUUGUGAUUAUUAUAACUUCAUUAUACUAUUAAUGUCUUGGUGAUGAUUUCUAUUGUUAGGCAAAAUUUGUGGAAGUAAUUGUGGAAUUUGAAUGUUGAGGAGCGUUGGCUCAAGUUGUAUAAUGAAAUGUGAAAGAAUAAGUGGUAAUUGAACCUUUUAAAGCAUUGGCUCAAGUUGUAAAGUGAGUUGUGAAGUAAAAGUGAGAAAGAGAAGGGAAUCAUUAUGUUGCCCCCUUGCCGGGAUAUUGUUGUUUUAAUGCUAUCUCCCUUGCCGGGAUGUUGAUAUUUCUUUUGAUAUUGUUGCUUUGUCGGGACUUGAUUGUUGAAUUCUCGUUCCCUUGCAAGGAAUCUUAUUAUAAUUUUAUUUAUCUCCUUGCCCUAUUAUUUGUGAUUCUUGUUUGGGUGAGGAAGAGUGUUAAAGCACGAAGGGUGAUGCCGUGUAUUGUUUUGGUGAGAGAGUGUUAAAGCACUAAGGGUGAUGCUAUGUAGGAUUUGUGAGGAAGAGUGUAAAGCAGGAAGGGUGAUGUCGUGCCACAUGAUGUAAAAUUUUGUACCGAUUAUAUUGAUUUUGUGGUGAGGACGAGAGUAAAAUCAUAGGUUGAUAUCGUGCACAUUUUCAUUACUUGAUUGCUUUGGUGAGGACGAGAGUAAAAGCAAGAAGAGUGAUGCCGUGCACUUAUUGAUUCCUGAUUCUUGUUGAUAUCUGAAAUAUGGUUUCCUCUUAUUUACCCGUUGUCUUUCUAUGCUUAAUUAAUGUUUCCUCGUAGCAUCCCUCCCUUUCCCAUCCUUGAUUGUAUUUUAUUGUUCUUCUUUUUCGUUGUAUAUGUUUAAACUGCACAGGUUCACUCGGUAGUAUGGUCCUAGCCUCGUUACUACUUCGCCGAGGUUAGGCUAGGCACUUACCAACAUAUGGGGUUGGUUAUGCUGAUACUACUCUUUGCUCUGUGUGCAUAUCCCAGAGCAGUAGCUUUUGGACAUUAGUUUGGCUGCUUGCCUUGAUUCCAUACGAAGAUCCAAUGUAGUCCUGUAGGCAUCCGCAUGUACUGGCGUCUCCCUCUAUCCCUCUAUCUUGUUUCAUUUACUUAUUUUAGAAAUAGUCUGCUACUUAUCUUUUGACUUUGUUUAUAGUACUCUUAGACUAUCUGCGAAGUUGUGACACCAGUUCUGAGUAGUCAUUCUUCAAACACUUGUAUUGGAUAUAUAUGUUUAGAUAGUUUUGUUGUUUUUCUUCUGCUUGUUAUAACUUCCACUGUCUACACGUUAUUGCUUCAUAAUUGUUGAAGGAUAUAAAAUAGGAAAAAGGUAAUUGGUGCAAACAGUAGGCUUCCCUAGCUUACAUUAGUAGGCGUUAUCACGACUCUCGAGAGUGGAAAAUUAGUAUCGUGAAAAGUUGGUAUCAGAGCUCUAGGUUACAUGGGUCUCAUAGAUCACAGACAAGCUUGGUAGAGUCCGAUGGAUUGGUACGAAGAUGUCGGUAUUUAUCCCCAGAGGCUAUAGAGUUAGGAAAAACUUCACAUUUAUUCUUUCUUGUCGUGCAGUUUGGUUUCUCAAUGCUAAUUGAAUUUCUAUUCUAUUCUCUCACAGAUGUCGAGAUCGCAUGCUUCCUCAUCCACUGACUAGCAUAUCGAGCCCCCAGAAGCAGGUCCCACGAGGGGUAGAGGGCGAGGUCGUGCUAGAGGUUGAGGUAGGGUAGAGGUCAGUCCAAGGUAGCAACACCUGCAGUGGAGCCUCAGGUUGAUUGUGGUGAUGAGUUCCAGUCCUAUCAGUUUUGGUGGGACUUCACAUUUAUUCUUUCUUGUCGUGCAGUUUGGUUUCUCAAUGCUAAUUGAAUUCCUACUCUGUUCUUUUGCAGAUGCUGAGAAUACGUGCUUCCUUAUCUGCUGAUCAG
rnacentral:lncRNA from 1 species